AUGAAGUCAGGUUUAAACAGUGACUUCAGUCCCUCAGUGCUUUAUACUUAUCUGUGCUGCAGCAAAUCACCAGGAAAGGCUCAAGAUGGCAGGGAACCGGGGCCUUGCUGGCUUGCGUCUUCCUCCCAUGGAAAGCACCGAACGUUCCCAAUGCUCAUUCCUGAAUCAUCCAAGAAGUCCUGCAGUAACAGAAGGGGAAACAACACUUCACAAUCCUCAUCCUCCACUGACAGGGAAAACAGCUUAAUCGUGUCCCUUUCCUGACUGUACAACCCCAUGGGAGUCAGUUCCAACACAAAACAAUGAAAAGACUGUGAGUGGGGCAGGAGGUAAGGUCGUCUGUCUCUUCAGCAGCAAUACAGAUGGCUUAAGCUGGUGAAAUCUCUCACUGAAAAGGUAUUAAAACAGGCUGAUAGAAACAAAUUGUGCAAACUGCCAGGACUUGACAGUAUCUACUCUUUGACUUCCAGCUGAAAUACGAGCGCUGCCUUGUUUGUAAUGUUUUUAGGCCUUGUUGAAGUGGCCUAAGUAACAUAAGAAUGGAAAGUGGAUAGUUUGGGAUUGUUUUAAGGCUCUGCCAUGAAUUUGGUAAGCAUAAGCCAGUAUCUCUGAUUUCUGUACCAAGAAGAUAAAGUAAAACUGUUACCAAAACUAGAACUACUGUAUACAGUAAGUGGAUAUAAUAAGACAAGUCAAUAUGGCUUUUUCAGAGGGAAGUUGUACUUCUGAAAUCUAUUAGAGUUGUUUACAAUGAGUGUAGAAAGGUGAACAAGGAGCUAAGAGUGAUCCACUUUGAUUUCCAAAACACUUUUGCUCUGGUCCCUGAGUAAAGGCUUAUAAGAAAUCGAGUUCAUGAUGGUAAGAGACAUCAUGAUGAGGUAAGGGACAAAAUCUUCUGUGGGUCAGUAACUGUUUAAAAGCUGUGCAGCAGUGGAUAAAAAUAACAUUUUUUUCCACAAUAGAUAUUUGUUACAAUUCUACUGGGGAUCCAUGCUGUUAUUUGUGGUGGUUUUACCUUGCUGGGCAGCUAAUCUCUACCACAGCCAUUCUCUCACUCCCUCUCCUCAAAGGAAAAGGGGGGAGAAAACACGAUGAACAGGGCUCAAGGGUUGAGAUAAGGACAGGGAGAUCACUCACCAAUUAUUGUCAUGGGCAAAACAAACUCAGCAUAGGGAGAUUAAUAAAAUUUAUUACCCUUUACUAACA
rnacentral:lncRNA from 1 species